UCCUACGGGAGGCAGCAGUGGGGAAUAUUGCACAAUGGGCGCAAGCCUGAUGCAGCGACGCCGCGUGAGGGAUGACGGCCUUCGGGUUGUAAACCUCUUUCAGUAGGGAAGAAGCCUUUCGGGGUGACGGUACUUGCAGAAGAAGCGCCGGCUAAUUACGUGCCAGCAGCCGCGGUAAUACGUAGGGCGCAAGCGUUAUCCGGAAUUAUUGGGUGUAAAGAGCUCGUAGGCGGUUUGUCGCGUUUGCUGUGAAAGACCGGGGCUCAACUCCGGUUCUGCAGUGGGUACGGGCAGACUAGAGUGCAGUAGGGGAGACUGGAAUUCCUGGUGUAGCGGUGAAAUGCGCAGAUAUCAGGAGGAACACCGAUGGCGAAGGCAGGUCUCUGGGCGGAAACCGACGCUGAGGAGCG
rnacentral:rRNA from 1 species